ACAUAUUGAACUUUUUCUACGUUUCAUUUAUGUGUUGAUGAUAUAACACCUGUUGAACUGCUACACCAUAGCUAAAAAUCUAUCCAUGUGAACUAUUUACUUUUUUCAUUUAACUUUUAUCAAUCAACAUACAUCAUUUUCCUUCCUGUUCAUACACGUAUUGCAGACAUUACAUACACAUACAUAGCUCCACGAUCAUACACAAUUUUCUCCUGUAGCUUCUCCUCGCUUCCCUUAACACAAACAAUCAUUUGGAGAGAAAAGCACAAUGGUUUUAGAUACAAAAAUCACCCCCACAAGAUAAUAUUGUAAAUACUAUCCUUAAAAGAAAGCAUGAAGAAUGCAAAAGUUCAUGGUAGAACCAAACCUAAUUAGGAAGGCUCAUCAAUCUCUUUAGGUAUUCAUCCCUCUUAGUAUUAUCAGAUUCAGCUUGAAUCAUGUGAGCAACCUGAACAGUGAGCACAAAGGCACAAAUUAUAUCAGAUUGGCUUGAAUCAUCUGCUAGCGUGAACAUUGAGCACAAAAGGGACAAAUGGUAGUACAAGUGAUAGCCUAUCCUGGCUCAAUUUGAAUCUGAUGCGGCUCAAGAUCAAGAAUUGUCGUAGCAAGGUUGGUGAGCAGUUCAGAAACAAAUGGUUCGUUCUCGCCCACCUGGGAAAUAGAAGGAAAUACAAAAUAAAUGGGCACGUAACCGGUGAGUAUGGUAUAGUAUAAAUGUGAUGAUGUGUGUCUAAAUUGAGUUACCCACAUGCAUUCAAGUAAUACAUAACUAUAAAUAAAUCAAAAGUUUAUCAAUUCACAUAUAGAAUUGAAGACAAAAGCAAUGUGAUUAAUGAAUCUACCUGUUGUGUCACAAACUUGCGCUUGCAUUUCUGAACAAUUUUCAGGAAUGUAUCACACGCCAUAUCCUGCAACAAGCAGUGUGUUACAUACAUUACAUACAGUAGGUAGGAAAUGUAGCAGUUGAAGAGGUACUUAAAACUUUCUGCAAAUGCAGAGGGAAGCACAACUAUGCACAGCAACAAAAAUAGAAGCAGCGGACUGUAGGUGACCACAAAUACUAAUAAUAUACUCUCUACAAGCCAUAUUACUUGUCGCAGCUUUAAUACAGCAUUAGUAUGUUCUAAAUUUGUACUAAAGCUGCGACAAGUAAUAUGGAUCGGAGGGAGUACGUGUUUCACACUACAAGAACUUUCCUGUUCCAACUGAAGAAACUACAUGUAAAUGCAUCACUGACCUGAACUCCAGGAUGCAUAUCAUGCAUGAACUCAAAUAAUUUGUUGACUACUGUCUUCAGAAACUUCCAAUGAGCCCUGAGAAAUCUUGGGUACUGACCAACCACAUACCUAUUAAUUCAAAUAUUGGAUCAGCAAAGAUAUUCUUUUGAUAAUUCCAAACAUGUGAGAAUUGAAGCAAACGCGCACAUGAUGUUACUCGCAAUAACAGCUUUGUUGUCUUUCCCCUUCGUGAUUUCAUAGAGAUUUAGCAAAUCACGAAUAACCAUCACCAAGAAUUUGUUCUCCUGCAAUGUGAAGUGAAGUUACUAAAGCGCCAAGUUCUCCACAAGCAUUUAUCGAAACCAAAUAAAUGAGGGUAAUGACAGUGAACAAACCUGUUCCUCCACCAUACUACCAGAUAUUGAUCCAAUAGCCCAGCAUAGAGUAUUGAGGUUAUUCCAACUUCAGUCUUCUCCAUUCAAUUGCUUAGUUAAUUUAUUCAACAUCUGGAAUAACAAAAGAAGUGUCAGAGUUGCAGCUUAAAUUCAGAAGGGCAGUAAAUAGAAAACAUAAGCAGGGAAACAGAGAAGAGGGCUCUAGUAGCAGCACGACACCAACGCCAUGUUUUUGGAAGGGCAAUGACAGUCAACAUCUUAUAGCCCCCUAUUUAGUACACCGCAAGCUACCACAUAUGUACUAACUAUAGUGAUGUAUUUGUACUGCCCAAAAACACACCUGCAAGAUGAACCAAAGGGGAGCUACACCACCCGCAAAAUGAACUGAAAAUGCCGACUAAGGCAACAUGAAGCAAGAUGUUGAACUGAAUAUAGCCAAGAGAAGGAGAUGAACGUACGGGGGGAGGUGGGGAAAAGCGGGCACCUACCGAGCUACAACGUAGAACGGCUUAGCGUUGUGUUGCUGAAUGACCCAGGGUGGCGGUUGUGAAUAGCCGGUGCGCUGCAACGAUAGAAUGAGCAAAGCAUAAACCAGUGCAUCAAUUGCCUCAAUCAACAACAACAGACAUGAAACAAUGGAAUGAGCAGAGCACAAACCAGUGCAUCAAGUGCCUCAAUUCCCAGGGACCAGUUCGGCGUUUAAUAACAACUAUGUUCGUCUAGCCACCCGUUUAGCUUUUGCUGUAACAAAAAGCACACAUUAAAAAGCUUUUACUGGCAUGGGGAAGCCUUCUUCCCUGAUGCUAAUGACCAAUUAGUACUGGUAAAGGUAAAGGGAAUCGAAACACCAUCACCACGAUGGUCUUUGUCAGGUAGAGAUGAAGUAGCAUCAGCAAUUACCAGUGUGGAGCAGUAGCAGGAGUGAGAUUCGAGAGGAGCAACAGCAGCAGAAGUGAGAUUUGAGAGGAGCAGAGCAGCACCCGUGCGAGAGAGAAAGCAGAGGAGAGCAGCAGAGUGCACAUGUUAGAAGAGGCCAUAGCUGUUCAAGUGAGGAUGCUUGGCAGUUCAAGGUCACCGCGUCUGGCUGUCAGAGGCCUCGCCGGAAUUGGUUGGAUGCUGCGACCAGGAGGGCGAUGGGGAUCGUGAGGCCAAGAGGAGGGAGGAGGUGGGUCGAUGAAGAAUCAGAGUGUGUCUCGGAUCUGGCCGUCGACGAGCAGCCGGCCUAGCUGUGGAGGUCGUCGUCAUUGGGAAGAGAGAGGGGGAGGGGAGGGGCACGAAUGGCCNNNNNNNNNNNNNNNNNNNNNNNNNNNNNNNNNNNNNNNNNNNNNNNNNNNNNNNNNNNNNNNNNNNNNNNNNNNNNNNNNNNNNNNNNNNNNNNNNNNNNNNNNNNNNNNNNNNNNNNNNNNNNNNNNNNNNNNNNNNNNNNNNNNNNNNNNNNNNNNNNNNNNNNNNNNNNNNNNNNNNNNNNNNNNNNNNNNNNNNNNNNNNNNNNNNNNNNNNNNNNNNNNNNNNNNNNNNNNNNNNNNNNNNNNNNNNNNNNNNNNNNNNNNNNNNNNNNNNNNNNNNNNNNNNNNNNNNNNNNNNNNNNNNNNNNNNNNNNNNNNNNNNNNNNNNNNNNNNNNNNNNNNNNNNNNNNNNNNNNNNNNNNNNNNNNNNNNNNNNNNNNNNNNNNNNNNNNNNNNNNNNNNNNNNNNNNNNNNNNNNNNNNNNNNNNNNNNNNNNNNNNNNNNNNNNNNNNNNNNNNNNNNNNNNNNNNNNNNNNNNNNNNNNNNNNNNNNNNNNNNNNNNNNNNNNNNNNNNNNNNNNNNNNNNNNNNNNNNNNNNNNNNNNNNNNNNNNNNNNNNNNNNNNNNNNNUGUGGCGUCGCCGGGAUCCAGAUGGGGGAGAAGGUGGGGGGCUGGCCAUCGCCGGGAUCCAGCCGGAGAAGGUGGAUUUGGGGGGAUGCGGGAGAGGGUGGGCUGGGGUUCUUUUAUUCCUUCGGGCGCCACCGAUUCGGAUAGUACAGAUCAGGCCCUAUAGGAGACCGAGGGUAACAGAAUAUUAUUCUGUUACCGGUAACAGAAUAGCUCUGUCCUAUAUAUAUAUAUAUAUAUAUAUAUAUAUAUAUAUAUAUAGGACAAAUGUUUCGUACAAGCAGUGGUAGUUACCACCACUUGCGUUUUGUAUGUUGUAUGUAGUAUCUGUCGAAACCGAAAGUAUGUAUGUGUAGUAUGUAGUAUAUAAUAAUGAUUAGGUAGUAUAUAUACUAAUUUUUAGGUAGUAUGUACCAUUUUUUGAGUAUGCUCUUUUUUACAUGUAAAUAUGUACGUAUUUCACAAAUAUAUCAAAAACUAUGGGCUCAUAUGCAAUUUUUUCACGUAACUUACUUUGAAAUAGCUUAGAUAUAGUAUAUGAACAUAUUUAAAAUAAUAAAUUAGUAUAUAUAGUACCAUAUGGUAGUAUAUGAGACAUGUGGGGUAACUACCACCGGGUGGUAGGAUGGAUUUCCCCUAUAUAUAUAGAUAUAGAUAUAGAUAUAGACAUAUAUAUAUAUAUAUAUAAUGUGCCUCUCCGGUUUAUUCUUUGAUAUUAAUUGCUCCUUCUAACAUAACAUUAUAUAUAUAAUGAGCCCACCUAAUAUGUCUAUUUCAAGGAAGUGCAAAUGGGCUGGGAUUUCUUAGAAACUAUAAAUGGGCCUGAUUGACGCGAAAUUAUUUGUUCACCCAGCCCAGACAAUGGACUGUACAUUCUAGAAAACAUGGGUUAAAUAUAUGCCACAUUUUUGCAGGCUGACAUGUGGGCCAAUAGGUCGAAGCCUACGCAGGGCGUUGUCAACUUGGUCAACAAAUGAUUGUGUCGUCCACAGUCAUUGGAUUUAUAUCCAACGGCCGGCAUGCACCUUCAAUCUUUCGUCUUCUUCCUCCAGCGUAACCAGGACCGCCUGGUACGGCCUCCAGCGGCUAGCGGCUUUGCUUAGCAUGCAUCACUGCGAAGCGCUACCCCACCGCCGGCCAGGCUAUCCCUCCACCCCUCGACACCUCCUGUUAUUCUCCACAGACUGUAGCCCCACGCCGCAAUAGAACCAGUUAUAACCCUUCUCCUCCUCUCAAUCUGCGACUCCACUGCCGCGUCUUCCCAUCUCCGAGUCGUUCCCGUCCGGGGCCUCGCCAUCAUCCACCGCCUCGCUGCGCUCGGUGCGGCGUGGUCAACAAACGAGAGUCAUCAGAAGAGGACUGUACAUGGAGAGCCUGACGGCUGGGACCCACGAGGUCCAUGGUCGCAUGCAAGGAAAGUUCCUCCUUAUUAAGUUGAAAAAAAUGUUUCCUCCACCUGACAGCUAGGACCCACCGGCUGUAACUUCGCACGGAAGGAAGUGCCUACCUGUUUUGCAAAAACAUUAUUCAUCCCGUUGACAGCUGGGACCCGUCAGAUAUGGUGGCUGACUUGUGGGCCUACUAAGCGGACGUGUAUGCACGGCUUUGUCAACUUAAUCAACAAAUGAUUCUAGCAGCUGGACCGUUGGAUGUUAAUCCAACAACCGUGCUCCUUCUUCAACCUCUGUUCUUUGCUCCUGUCUCUCGUGGGCGGCACCGCGGUUGUGCUGCCGCACACCCGAACCAGUGAAGUUUCCCACUCCUCUCCAUCUGCGACUUCACUACCCCAUCUUCCCCUUCUCCGGGUCGUUCCAGUCUGGGUGCGCUCGGCACGGUGUGGUCAACAUGGUCAACAACCGAGAGUCAUCGGAAGAUGACUGUACAUGAGAGGCUGACAGUGGGGACGCACCACGCCCAUGGAUGCAUGCAUGCAACAGAACGCGGCGUGGUCAACAUGGUCAAGGAACGACUUCCAUCGGAAGUAUACUGUACGUGGAGAGUCUGACAGCUGGGUCCACGGCCGCAGCAAGGAAGCGCCUCCUUAUUACGCGGAAAAUAAUAAUUCCUCCAACUGACAGCAGGGACCCACUGGAUCGGCCACCGUAUUUUGCGGAAAAAAAUGUUUGCCCCUGACUGGUGGGACCCACCUGAUGGGCCACCGUAUUUCAUAAAAACAUAUUCCCCCCGCUGUCAGCUCGGACACACCAGAAGUGCCUCCUUAUUAAAAAGAAAAAAUGAAUACUCCCCCUGCUAGCUAGGACCCACCUUGGUGGGAGGCUGACUUGUGGGCCCACUAAGUUGACAGGGACGGAGGGCUUUGUCAACUUAGUCAAUGUGAACGAUUCUAACUGCAGUGAUCGUACGAUGUCCAUCCAACGACCAUCGUGCUUCUUCAACCUCUGGUCUUCUUGAUCCAGCCGCGCAAAGCAGCGCCGAUCGUGCCGCCUGCUCCUGCCUCCCGUGACCGGCUGUGAUGCCGCGGAGGCCUCACCGCCCCCUACUACUCCCGCCGCUGGCCAAGCCAUCCCUCCACUCACCCACAUGUUGGAAAUAUGCCCUAGAGGCAAUAAUAAAUUAGUUAUUAUUAUUAUAUUUCCUUGUUCAUGAUAAUCGUUUAUUAUCCAUGCUAUAAUUGUAUUGAUAGGAAACUCAGAUACAUGUGUGGAUACAUAGACAACACCAUGUCCCUAGUAAGCCUCUAAUUGACUAGCUCGUUGAUCAAUAGAUGGUUACGGUUUCCUGACCAUGGACAUUGGAUGUCGUUGAUAACGGGAUCACAUCAUUAGGAGAAUGAUGUGAUGGACAAGACCCAAUCCUAAGCCUAGCACAAAGAUCGUGUAGUUCAUAUGCUAAAGCUUUUAUAAUGUCAAGUAUCAUUUCCUUAGACCAUGAGAUUGUGCAAAUCCCGGAUACCGUAGGAAUGCUUUGGGUGUACCAAACAUCACAACGUAACUAGGUGGCUAUAAAGGUACGCUGUGGGUAUCUCCAAAAGUGUCUGUUGGGUUGGCACGAAUCGAGACUGGGAUUUGUCACUCCGGUUGACAGAGAGGUAUCUCUGGGCCCACUCGGUAGGACAUCAUCAUAAUGUGCACAAUGUGACCAAAGGGUUUAUCACGGGAUGAUGUGUUACGGAACGAGUAAAGUGACUUGCCGGUAACGAGAUAGAACAAGGUAUCGGCAUACCGACGAUCGAAUCUCGGGCAAGUAUAAUACCGCUAGACAAAGGGAAUUGUAUACGGGGUCGAUUGAGUCCUUGACAUCGUGGUUCAUCCGAUGAGAUCAUCGUGGAACAUGUGGGAGCCAACAUGGGUAUCCAGAUCCCGCUGUUGGUUAUUGACCGGAGAACGUCUCGGUCAUGUCUGCAUGGUUCCCGAACCCGUAGGGUCUACACACUUAAGGUUUGAUGACGCUAGGGUUAUAGGGAAUAUAUAUAUACGUGGUUACCGAAUGUUUUUCGGAGUCCCGGAUGAGAUCCCGGACAUCACGAGGAGUUUCGGAAUGGUCCGGAGGUAAAGAUUUAUAUAUGGGAAGUCCUGUUUUGGUCACCGGAAAAGUUUCGGGUUUUAUCGGUAACGUACCGGGACCACCGGGAGGGUCCCGGGGGUCCACCAAAGGGGGUCCACCAAGUGGGGCCAUCGGCCCUAGAGGGCAGCAUGGGCCAAGUGUGGGAGGGGACCAGCCCCAGGUGGGCUGGUGCGCCCCCCCCCACAAGGGCCCAAGGCACCUAGGGUUUGGGGAGGGGUGCUUCCAUCUUACUUGGGGGGCAAGUUUACCCCUCCCCCCCCUUGGUCGCACCCUAGAUGGGGAUUGGGGCUGCCGCCACCCCUAUGGAGGGAACCCUAGGUGGGGGCGCAGCCCUCCCUCUCCCCCUAUAUAUAGUGGAGGCAAAGGGGCAGCCCAACACACGAAGUUCUUCUCCUGUUGGGCUGCCCUACCUCUCUUUCUCCUCCUCUCCUGCGGUGCUUGGGGAAGCCCUGCAGGAUUGCCACGCUCUUCCACCACCACCGUGCUGUUGUGCUACUACUGGAUGGAGUAUUCCUCAACCUCUCCCUCUCUCCUUGCUGGAUCAAGGCAUGGGAGACAUCACCGGGCUGUACGUGUGUUGAACGCGGAGGUGCCGUCCGUUCGGCACUAGGAUCUCCGGUGAUUUAGAUCACGACGAGUACGACUCCUUCAACCCCGUUCUCUUGAACGCUUCCGCUUAGCAAUCCACAAGGGUAUGUAGAUGCACUCUCCUCUCUCUCGUUGGUAGUUUCUCCAUAGAUAGAUCUUGGUGACUCGUAGGAAAAUUUUGAAUUUCUGCUUUGUUCCCCAACAGUGGCAUCAUGAGCUAGGUCUAUUGCGUAGAUUCUUUGCACGAGUAGAACAAAAAGUAGUUGUGGGUGUUGAUUUUGUUCAAUAUGCUUACCGUUACUAGUCCAAUCUUGUUUCGGCGGCAUUGUGGGAUGAAGCGGCCCGGACCGACCUUACACGUACUCUUACGUGAGACAGGUUCCACCGACUGACAUGCACUUGUUGCAUAAGGUGGCUGGUGGGUGCCAGUCUCUCCCACUUUAGUCGGAUCGGAUUCGAUGAAAAGGGUCCUUAUGAAGGGUAAAUAGCAAUUGGCAUAUCACGUUGUGGUUUUUGCGUAGGUAAGAAACGUUCUUGCUAGAAACCCAUAGCAGCCACCUAAAACAUGCAAACAACAAUUAGAGGACGUCUAACUUGUUUUUGCAGGGUAUGCAUUGUGAUGUGAUAUGGCCAAAAGAAUGUGAUGAAUGAUAUGUGAUGUAUGAGAUUGAUCAUGUUCUUGUAAUAGGAAUCACGACUUGCAUGUCGAUGAGUAUGUUAAACCGGCAGGAGCCAUAGGAGUUGUAUUUAUUUAUUUUAUGACCUGCGUGUCAUUGAACAACGCCAUGUAAUUACUUUACUUUAUUGCUAACUGGUAGCCAUAGUAGUAGAAGUAAUAGUUGGCGAGACAACUUCAUGAAGACACGAUGAUGGAGAUCAUGAUGAUGGAGAUCAUGGUGUCAUGCCGGUGACGAUGAUGAUCAUGGAGCCCCGAAGAUGGAGAUCAAAAGGAGCAAAAUGAUAUUGGCCAUAUCAUGUCACUUUUGAUUGCAUGUGAUGUUUAUCAUGUUUAUGCAUCUUAUUUUCUUAGAACGACGGUAGUAAAUAAGAUGAUCCCUCAUUAGAAAUUUCAAGAAAGUGUUCCCCCUAACUGUGCACCGUUGCGAAAGUUCGUCGUUUCGAAGCACCACGUGAUGAUCGGGUGUGAUAGAUUCUAACGUUCACAUACAACGGGUGUAAGCCAGAUUAAUACACGCGAAACACUUAGGUUAACUUGACGAGCCUAGCAUGUAUAGACAUGGCCUCAGAACACAAGAGACCGAAAGGUCGAGCAUGAGUCGUAUAGUAGAUACGAUCAACAUGAAGAUGUUCACCGAUGAUGACUAGUCCAUCUCAGGUGAUGAUCGGACACGGCCUAGUUGACUCGGAUCAUGUAAUCACUUAGAUGACCAGAGGGAUGUCUAUCUGAGUGGGAGUUCAUUAGAUGAACUUAAUUAUCAUGAACAAAGUCAAAAACCCCUUUGCAAAUUAUGUCAUAGCUCGCGUUUUUGUUCUACUGUUUUAGAUAUGUUCCUAGAGAAAAUAUAGUUGAAAGUUGAAGUAGCAAUUAUGCAAACAGUAGAAGGCUUAUGUCCUUAAUGCACCGCUCAGUGUCCUGGACCUCGAACAUGGUAUGUGGAUGUUGCGAACAUCUGACAUACACAUUUUGAUGACUACAUGAUAGUUCGGUAAUGUUAAAUGGUUUAGAAUUGAGGCACCAAAAGACAUUUUGAAAUGUCGCAGAACAUAUGAGAUGUUCCAAGAGCUGAAAUUGGGAUUUCAGGCUCGUGCCCACGUCAAGAGGUAUGAGACCUCCGACAAGUUUUUCUAGCCUACAAACUAAGGGAGAACAUCUCAAUCGUUGAGCUUAUACUCAGGUUGUCUGGGUACAACAAUCACUUGAAUCGAAUGGGAGUUUAUCUUCCAGAUGAGAUAGUGAUGUUUCUCCAAAGACAUUGCCACCAAGCUACUAGAGCUUCGUGAUGAACUAUAACAUAACUGGGAUAGAUAUGAUGAUCCUUGAGCUAUUCGCCAAUGUUCGACACCGCGAAUGUAGAAAUCAAGAAGGAGCAUCAAUUGUUGAUGGUUAGUGAAACCACUAGUUUCAAGAAGGGCAAGGGCAAGAAGGGGCACUUCAUGAUACGACAAAUCAGUUGCUGCUCCAGUGAAGAAACCCAAGGUUGAACCCAAACCCGAGACUAAGUGCUUCUGUAAUAAGGGGAACAACCACUGGAGCAUUAUUACCCUAGAUACUUGGUAGAUAAGAAGGAUGGCAAGGUCGAUAGAAGUAUAUUGGAUAUACAUUAUGUUAAUGUGUACUUUACUAGUACUCCUAGUAGCACCAGGGUAUUAGAUACCGGUUCGGUUGCUAAGUGUUAGUAACUCGAAAUAAAAGCUACGGAAUAAACGGAGACUAGCUAAAGGUGAGCUGAUGAUAUGUGUUGGAAGUGUAUCCAAGGUUGAUGUGAUCAAACAUCGCACGCUCCCUCUACCAUCAAGAUUAGUAUUAAACCUAAAUAAUUGUCAUUUGGUGUUUGCGUUGAGCAUAGACAUGAUUGGAUUAUGUCUAUCACAAUACGGUUAUUCAUUUAAGGAGAAUAAUGUUUACUCUAUUUAUUUAAAUAAUACCUUCAAUGGUCUUGCACCUAAAAGAAUGGUUUAUUGAAUCUCGAUCAUAGUGAUACACAUUUUCAUGCCAAAAGAUAUAAGAUAGUAAUGAUAGUACCACUUACUUGUGGCACUGCCAUGUAAGUCAUAUUGGUAUAAAACGCAUGAAGAAACUCCAUGUUGAUGGAUCUUUGGACUCACUCGUUUUUUGAAAAGUUUGAGACAUGUGAACCAUGUCUAUUGAGGAUAUGCAUGAUGGAACUCCAUGCAAAUGGACCGUUUGGACUCACCUGAUUUUGAAUCACUUGAGACAUGCAAAUCAUACCACAUGGGCAAAAUGACUGAAAGCCUCGUUUUUCAGUAAAAUGGAACAAGAAAGCAACUUAUUGGAAGUAAUACAUUUUGAUGUGUGCAGUCCAAUGAGUGCUGAGGCACGCAGUGGAUAUCGGUAUGUUCUUACUUCACGGAUGAUUUGAGUAGAUACUGAGUAUAUUUACUUGAUGAAACACAAGUCUGAAUUAUUGAAUGGUUCAAGUAAUUUCAGAGUGAAGUUGGAGAUCUUCGUGACAAGAGGAUAAAAAUGUCUAUGAUAUGAUCAUAGAGACGAAUAUCUGAGUUGCGAGAUUGGUACACAAUUAAGACAUUGUGGAAAUUGUUUCACAAUUAAUACCACCUGGAACACCAUAGUGUGAUGGUGUCUCCGAACAUCAUAGUUGCACCCUAUUGGAUAUGGUGCGUACCAUGAUGUCUCUUAUCAAAUUACCACUAUCGUUCAUGGGUUAGGCAUUAGAGACAACCACAUUCACUUUAAUAGGGCACCACAUAAUUCCAUUGAGAUGACACCGUAUGAACUAUGGUUUAGAGAAACCUAAGCUGUCGUUUCUUGAAAGUUUGGGGCUGUGACGCUUAUGUGAAAAAGUUUCAUCGUGGUAAGCUCGAACCCAAAGCGGAUAAAUACAUCUUCAUAGGACACCCAAAAACAGUUGGGUGCACCUCCUAAUUCAGACCCGGAAGCAAAAGUGAUUGUUUCUUGAACCGGGUCCUUUCUCAAGGAAAAGUUUAUCUUGAAAGAAUUGAGUGGGAGGAUGGUGGAGACUUGAUGAGGUUGUUGAACCAUCACUUCAACUAGUGUGUAGCAGGGCACAGGAAGUUGUUCCCGUGGCACCUACACCAAUUGAAGUAGAAGCUUAUGAUAGUGAUCAUGAAACUUCGGAUCAAGUCACUACCGAACCUCGUAGGUCAACAAGGAUGCAUACUGCUUCAAGGUGGUACGUAAUCUUGUCUUGGAGGUCAUGUUCCUAGACAACAAUGAACCUACGAGCUGUGGAGAAGCGAUGGGGGGCCUGGAUUCCGACGAAUGGCUCGAGGCCAUAAAAAUCCGAGAGAGGAUCCAUGUGAGAAAACAAAGUGUAGACUUUGGAAGAACUACUUGAUGGUCAUAAGGCUGUUGGGUACAGAUGGAUUUUAAAAGAAAGAUAGACAAUGAUGGUAAGUAUUACCAAUAAGAAAGCUCGGCUUGUCGUUAAGAUGUUUUCCGACAAGUUCAAGGAGUUGACUACGAUGAGACUUUCUCACUCGUAGCGAUGCUAAGAGUCUAUUGUAAUUAUGUUAGCAAUUACUGCAUGAUUUAUGAAAUAUUGCAGAUAGGAUGUCAAAAAACAUUGUUUCCUCGACGAUAUCCUUGAGGAAAGGUUGUAUGUGAUACAACCAGAAGGUUUUGUCAAUCCUGAAAGACACUAACAAGUAUGCAAAGCUCCAGCAAUCCUUCUAAGGACUGGAGUAAGCAUCUCGAAGUUGGAAUGUACGCUUUGAUGAGAUGAUCAAAGAUUUUGGGUUUAUGCAAAGUUUAAGAGAAACUUGUAUUUCCAAAGAAGUGAGUGGGAGCACUAUAGAAUUUCUGAUAAGUAUAUGUGAAUGACAUAUUGUUGAUCCGAAAUGAUGUAGAAUUUCUGGAAAGCAUAUAGGGUUAUUUGAAAAGUGUUUUUCAAUAGAAAACCUGAAUUAAGCUGCUUGAACAUUGAGCAUCAAGAUCUAUGAGGAUAGAUCAAAAACGUCAAAUGGUACUUUCAAAUGAGCACAUACCUUGACAUGAUCUUGAAGGUGUUCAAGAUGGACAGUCAAAGAAGGAGUUCUUGCCUGAGUUGUAAGGUAUGAAGUUAAGAGUUAAAGCUCGACCACAGCAGAAAAGAGAGAAAGGACGAAGGUCGUCCCCUAUGCUUCAGACGUAGGCUCUAUAGUAUGCUAUGCUGUGUACCGCACCGGAAGUGUGCCUUGCCAUGAGUUAGUCAAGGGGUACAAGAAUGAUCCAGGAACGGAUCAUUGGACAGCGGUCAAAAUUAUCCUUAGAGGAAUAAGGAAAUGUUUCUCGAUUAUGGAGGUGAUAAAGAGUUCGGCGUAAAGGGUUACGUCGAUGCAAGCUUUAACACCUAUCCGAAUGACUCUGAGUAGCAAACUGGAUACGUAUAGUGGAGCGACCAUUUGGAAUAGCUCCAAGUGGAGCGUGGAAGUAGCAUUUACAAUAUGCCCUAGAGAUUUGCAAAAUACAUACGGAUCUGAAUGUUGCAGACCCGUUGACUAAAACCACUCUCACAAGCAAAACAUGAUCAAACCCCAGAACUCAUUGAGUCUUAAUCACAUGAUGAUGUGAACUAGUUUAGUGACACUAGUAAACUCUUUGGAUGAUGGUCACAUGGCGAUGUGACCUAUCAGUUUUAAUCACAUGGCGAUGUGAACUAGAUUAUUGACUCUAGUGCAAGUGGGAGACUGUUGGAAAUAUGCCCUAGAGGAAAUAAUAAAUUAGUUAUUAUUAUUAUAUUUCCUUGUUCAUGAUAAUCGUUUAUUAUCCAUGCUAUAAUUGUAUUGAUAGGAAACUCAGAUACAUGUGUGGAUACAUAGACAACACCAUGUCCCUAGUAAGCCUCUAAUUGACUAGCUCGUUGAUCAAUAGAUGGUUACGGUUUCCUGACCAUCGACAUUGGAUGUCGUUGAUAACGGGAUCACAUCAUUAGGAGAAUGAUGUGAUGGACAAGACCCAAUCCUAAGCCUAGCACAAAGAUCGUGUAGUUCGUAUGCUAAAGCUUUUAUAAUGUCAAGUAUCAUUUCCUUAGACCAUGAGAUUGUGCAACUCCCGGAUACCGUAGGAAUGCUUUGUGUGUACCAAACGUCACAACGUAACUGGGUGUCUAUAAAGGUACGCUAAGGGUAUCUCCAAAAGUGUCUGUUGGGUUGGCACGAAUCGAGACUGGGAUUUGUCACUCCGGUUGACGGAGAGGUAUCUCUGGGCCCACUCGGUAGGACAUCAUCAUAAUGGGCACAAUGUGACCAAGGGGUUGAUCACGGGAUGAUGUGUUACGGAACAAGUAAAGAGACUUGCCGGUAACGAGAUAGAACAAGGUAUCGGCAUACCGACGAUCGAAUCUCGGGCAAGUAUAAUACUGCUAGACAAAGGGAAUUGUAUACGGGAUCGAUUGAGUCCUUGACAUCAUGGUUCAUCCGAUGAGAUCAUUGUGGAACAUGUGGGAGCCAACAUGGGGAUCCAGAUCCCGCUAUUGGUUAUUGACCGGAGAACGUCUCGGUCAUGUCUGCAUGGUUCUCGAACCCAUAGGGUCUACACACUUAAGGUUCGAUGACGCUAGGGUUAUAGGGAAUUGAUAUACGUGGUUACCAAAUGUUUUUUGGAGUCCCGGAUGAGAUCCCGGACGUCACGAGAAGUUCCGGAAUGGUCCGGAGGUAAAGAUUUAUAUAUGGGAAGUCAUGUUUUGGUCACCGGAAAAGUUUCGGGUUUUAUCGGUAACGUACCGGGACCACCGGGAGGAUCCCGGGGGUCCACCAAAGGGGGUCCACCAAGUGGGGCCACCGACCCCAGAGGGCAGCAUGGGCCAAAUGUGGGAGGGGACCAGCCCCAGGUGGGCUGGUGCGCCCCCCCCCCCACACACACAAGGGCCCAAGGCACCUAGGGUUUGGGGAGGGGGUGCUUCCACCUUACUUGGGGGACAAGUUUCCCCCUUCCCCCUCCCUUAGGCGCACCCUAGAUGGGGAUUGGGGCUGCUGCCACCCCUAGGGAGGGAACCCUAGGUGGGGGCGCAGCCCUCCCUCUCCCCCUAUAUAUAGUGGAGGCAAAGGGCAGCCCAACACACGAAGUUCUUCUCCUGUUGGCGCAGCCCUACCUCUCUUUCUCCUCCUCUCCCACGGUGGUUGGCGAAGCGCUGUAGGAUUGCCACGCUCCUCCACCACCACCACGCCGUUGUGCUGCUGCUGGAUGGAGUCUUCCUCAACCUCUCCCUCUCUCCUUGCUGGAUCAAGGCAUGGGAGAUGUCACCGGGCUGUACGUGUGUUGAACGCGGAGGUGCCGUCCGUUCGGCACUAGGAUCUCCGGUGAUUUGGAUCACGAUGAGUACGACUCCUUCAACCCCAUUCUCUUGAACGCUUCCGCUUAGCGAUCUACAAGGGUAUGUAGAUGCACACUCCUCUCUCUCAUUGCUAGUUUCUCCAUAGAUAGAUCUUGGUAACUCAUAGGAAAAUUUUUUAUUUCUGCUACGUUCCCCAACACCAAACCCCCUGUUAUUCUGCGGCGACGAUAGCCUCACAUCGCAGCCGAACGAGUGAACCCUCAUACUCCUCUAUGCGUGGGCAUCCACUGCCGCAUCUUCCUCGGCUCCACGUCGUCCCCUUCCUAGGCCUCGCCGUCGUCCACCACCGUGGUGCUCUCGGCGCAGCGUGGUCAGUGUGGUCAACGACCGACUUCCAUCGGAAGAGUACUAUACGUGGAGAGGCUGACAACUGGGUCCACGACAGCCACAAGGAAGUGCCUCCUUAUUACGCGCAAAAUAAUUAUUCCUCCACCUGACAGAAGGGACCCACCGGACGGGCCACCGUAUUUUAUGAGAAAACGUUUCCCCCCUGACUGCUAGGACCCACCAGCUACACCUUCGCACGCAAGGAAGUGCGUCCGGGCAAAAAAAAAUGAUUCGCCCCCUGACUGCUGGGACCCACCAGCUACAUCUUCGCACACAAGGAAGUGCCUGAUAGUCGGGACCCACCUGAUCGAAGCGAACGUAGCGUUGUCAUUCUGGUCGCGAACAUGUAUGUACAUAUAUACUGGUGGAUGUAGAGGCGCGCACGUGUCGAUGUAGAGGCACACACGUAGCAUGUACACGUACGUACAACGGCCAGUGUGCAAGAAAGAAAAUACGGCCACAUAUGUCUACAUACGGGCGGGGUCUCGAACGCCUACUCGCGCAUAUGUACGGCUAGGGCUCGUGUACAUGUCUAGGUCGGAACAGAGAAACAUCAUUGUCGUCGUGUUCAUGGGGAGGCAACGAAAUGCGUCGUGUUCAUGGGGAGGCAACAGAAUGUGUCGUGUUCAUCGGGAGGCAACGGAACGCGUGGGAGCCAACCGGCUUGUACGGAACAAGCAAUGGAAACGAGGCCUGGCGCACCGCAAAAUGGAGGAAACGGCCUUGUGUUUGACCGGCCACGUUCGAAACGGGAUCCUGUUCAUCGGGAGGGGUCUGGCGUACCGCAAAACGGAGGAAACGGACCUCCUACGGUCGAAACGGGGGUCCUGUUGAUCGGGAGGGGUGUGGCGUACCGCAAAACGGACGAAACAAGGGUCCUGUUGAUCGGGAGGGGUGUGGCGUACCGCAAAACGGACGAAACAGACUUGUGUUGGAGUGCUACGGUCGAAAUGGGGGUCCUGUUCAUCGGGACGGGUGUGGCGUACCGCAAAACGGGACUCCACGAGAUACUGUUCAUCUCCAGNNNNNNNNNNNNNNNNNNNNNNNNNNNNNNNNNNNNNNNNNNNNNNNNNNNNNNNNNNNNNNNNNNNNNNNNNNNNNNNNNNNNNNNNNNNNNNNNNNNNNNNNNNNNNNNNNNNNNNNNNNNNNNNNNNNNNNNNNNNNNNNNNNNNNNNNNNNNNNNNNNNNNNNNNNNNNNNNNNNNNGCAACGCUCACUGUUCAUCCCAGAGGCAGCAUCGAUCGGCUUCAGUUAGCAGCAGUAGCGAAGGAAUCGGUCGACCGGGUUCAGUUAAUAGCCAUCGAUCGAUCGCUCGGGUUCAGUAACGCGUAGCCUGCAGUGCAAUCGCUCGGGUUCAGUUAGAGCCCAACGCCUCGCUCGGGUUCAGUUAGAGCAAACGCCUCGCACACACGCGCGUACGUGUACGAGAGAAACGUGCAUCGCUCGGCCCCCGACCUCCCACCGUAACCGGGAACUCCCCGAAAUUUUCCUCGCCAUCGCUUCUACCACGGUUUUUUCCGUCAUAGACGGCCCAAAGAAUGUCAUGCAGCUGCGUCUCCGGCCCGCCCAGGACGAAAAGCCCAUUUUCUGUCAUGAUUUUUUGUCAUAGAAGUAGGAGCCCACCACAUCUAUGAUGAUAGUUUUGUCACAAUUAUCGUCAUAGAAGUGUCAUAUGCAUGACAGAAAAAAGUUUCGUUCGGCCCAAAAUGUCACAGAUGUGUCUUUUUUGUAGUGAUGCCAUUUGCUUAUUUUCGGUUGCGCUUCUCCUUGACCGGUUACGUAGCGAUUGUGAGGAUCCGUUCGACUAUGUUGGUUCGUCUUCUUCAUGGACUUCGAUCUUCUUCCUAGCGGGAUUUCAGGCAAGAUGACCGUUACUCUGGAUCUCACUACUAUCUUUGCUAUGCUAGUUGUCUCGAUGCUAUCGCUAUGUCGUGCUACCUACCACUCGUUUAUCAAGCUUCCCAAAUUGCCAUGAUAGCCUCUAACCUUUUCCACCGUCCUAGCAAACCGUUGUUUAGCUAUGCUACCGCUUUGCUCAGCCCCUCUUAUAGCGUUGCUAGUUGCAGGUGCAGUUGCAGGUUGUUCCAUGUUGGGACAUGGAUAACAUGGGAUAUCACAAUAUCUCUUAUUUAAUUAAUGCAUCUAUAUACUUGGUAAAGGGUGGAUGGCUCGGCCUUUUGCCUGGUGUUUUAUUCCACUCUUGGCGCCUAGUUUCCGUCAUACCGGUGUUAUGUUCCUUAAUUUUGCGUCCCUAACACGAUGAGGGUUUAUGGGCCCCUCUUGACAGUUCGCUUUGAAUAAAACUCUUCCAACAAGGCCCAACAUUGGUUUAUCAUUUUCCUAAUAAUAACUAAAACUUGCAUAGGGACCCGCCGGCACCCGAGGUCUCUUAAUCAACCCCCCGGGCUAGUACUGCUCAUGAGUGUUGGUCCACCUACCUAGCAGUUGGCGGUGCCACCUCGGGGCAACUCGAUGGUAUUUUGUCUACCAUCCAUUUUGCAUAGAUGGUGUUGUCCUGAGAACGAGAUACGUGCAGAUCCUAUCGGGGUAUCGACACACCGUGUGGUCUUGCUGGUUUUGUUUUACCAUCAUCGAAAUGACAUGUGCACCAAGAUCCCGAGUUUGAUCGGAUGUCCCGCGAUGGAGGAUUGUCUCCACGGAUCAUGAGCUUGUCAUGGGCUAAGUUGGGACACCCCUGCAGGGUUUAAACUUUUGAGAGAUGUGCCCGUGGUUAUGUGGCAGAUGGGAAUUUGUUAAUAUCCGGUUGUAGUGGACUUGAACUAAACUCAAUUAAAAUACACCAACCACAUGCAUAACCCUGCCUGUCUCUUUUCGAGUGCGUUCGAGAAGAGAACACGGUUGGGUUAUGAUUGAACGUAAGUAGUUCAGGAUCGCUUCUUGAUCAUUACUAGUUUGCGACCGUUUGUGUAGUUUCUCAUCUUAUUCUUGUACUCGUAAGUUAGCCAUCAUACAAUGCUUAGUGCUUGCUGCAACCUCACCACUUAUCCGUUCCAUACCCAUUAAGCUUUGCUAGUCUUGAUACUCAUGGUAAUGGGAUUGCUGAGUCCUCGUGGCUCACAGAUUACCACAACAACAGUUGCAGGUACAGGUAAUGCGAUGAUCAUGACGUGAGAGCGAUGUUUGCUUGCUUUUGGAGAUCUUCUUCGUUCAAGGGAUAGGUUCCGGGUCAGGGAGCCUGGGAUUAGAAGGGUGGAUGUCGUUCUUCUUUUUUGUUUGAUUUCAUCCGUAGUUGGAUCCUGCUCUUAUGUAUGAUGAUUGCUAUGUAUUGAUGAACUGUUGUAUUCAUGUUGUAGCUUGUGGCGAGUGUAAGCCUUUAUCUUGUAUUCUCAUCUAUUCGGUACAUGGUAUGUUGUAAUGAUAUCCACCUUGCUAUGCGCUCGAAAUGCGGUUGUGCCCCAAACAUGAAUUCAUCACGUGAUUGGGAUAGAAUCGCAUCUUGGACGCUACAACUAAUGAGUUGGUUGUGCCUAGUGAGAUCCUAUAGUCCAAAUGGCACCGCAAGAAUGGGGACAUGAGUGAGCAAGUCAAAAUCAGAUGGACUGGCGUCUCUAACCUGGACAACAUCUGGGAAGAUCGGCAAGCAUUGCAGGCUCGCUUUCCCCAUGCAGCGGCUUAGGGUCAAGCCGCCACUCAAGGAGGAGGGGAUGUUAGCGACCCUGACAGUCUGGACCCGCUGGCCAGCAAGGACCAGGAGGAGGCACGGCCCAGCCGCGCCAAGAAGCCCAACCCAAGGUACACAGGCCCAAAAUGGGCCACGGCAAGCCGCCACUCUACUUAACCCUGGAGCGACGACAGGAGCAGUAUCCAGUGGAUCACCAGACGACCUGGCGGCAGCUACCUACUACCUUUUCCCCGAACCCUAGUUCUUCCAUGUUCUUCCCCAUUCGAGCAUCGCUCCUGUAAUCGAUUGUAAUAGCUACUACUUCGGAGAGCAACAAUAGAUCGAUCCCUCUAUCCUGAGCCUCUCAAUCAACGCACACGGACGUGGCGGACACAAGCCCCAACGCGCCAACCUCGUAUCCCAGGGUUCACUCCAACGAGAGAUCACGAUCGAGACUGAUGCUGGUCUAUCAAGCAAAGUUUACUGCUAGGGGUCACUACACUUCACCCGGUGCGUGUGUGGGGGAUUUGGAACGAGGGAUGAGGAGAUUCUUAAUUUGAUCUCGUUUCUUUCAUGUGCAUUGUGGUGAUUAAACGGCCGGACGCAUGCAGUUUGAUUAAUGAAUUCAUUAUUGCUUCCCUUAUAUGCUAGUGCUGGCGUAGCUAGUUUUUGUCGUUGGAGAGAAUAAUCAAACUGUCGAGGGAUAGGCACGCAACGGUCAGGAGACAGACAGCAUAGGGCAUGUCACUAAGAGAGCAUGUACAUCCGUGCGCCCUAAAUCCGUCUCAAACGUUCAGAUGGAUGGCCCGGUCAGUAAUCGAUCACAAAAUACGCAUCCAAACGGGCUUCUCAAUUGUGUCUCUAAUUUCCAAGCUGAUUGACACCUCUCAUAUCCAGCCCAAAUCUAGGGCGGAUUGGGGGCGCCCGGGAGCGUACGCCAGACUCAUAAAGGGGUCCCACACGGGAUCGUUGGAAACCUGGCGGUCCGACGGACGUCUCCUCCGAUGGGUGGGGGGGUGAACGCCACGUGGCCCUGCUCCAGCUCGCCGCUGAAGGCCAAAUUCGGCUAUUUAAGCCGGCCUUCCCCAACCCUAGCCACAACCACCUCGUCCCUCUCUGCCCCGCCAGCCCGAGCCCAUCCACCUUUCUACCGCUCAGCCGCUCUUCCCACGCCCUCCAGCUUUGACAUGGUUCGGCAAAAGAAGACCACGUAUGCUAUGCUCACACUGAAGCGACAGUUCCAGAUUGAGCAGGAUAUCUGGGUGAGGCACGCCGCCCGCAUCGCUGCCGGCCUACCUAUGGACUCGCCGGAGCCGGAGGAGGAAGAGGAAGAGGAGCAGCAGCCGGCUCCGAUGAAGGUAGCGGAUCCGGAGGAGGAUGAGGCGGAGCAGACGGAGGAGGAGUUGGUGCUGGCUCUAGGCUUCAACAUGGAGGACCCGAAGGUGGAGUUUGCGGGCGCCUAAGCGGCCAAGAUGGAUGAGCAGCAUGCCAUCCCGGAGUCCGUCCAAGUGAGGCUUAUGUGGAGAUCAACUGGUAAGAACUGGCGGCGAUAACGCGCUCUUCGAUGAGGUGGAAGCGGAGAUGGAGGCGGAGGCCAGCGUGAAGAGCCGAAGGAGCUAGAGCUGCGGCUGUCGCUCAUGUACCCGGAGCCAGGCAUAGAGAUAGUGUACAUCUCCAACGAGGAUUAGGGUAUGGUUUUAGUUGAUCUACGUAGCACGUGGAUUUCGUCGUUUGCAUGGUUUUCUACGGAUCUAAGGUUUGUAGUAUGAGGUAUCCGAAUAUAGAGAAACAAAUUUAAGACGUGAUCGUAUACGGCGGGCGUAUUCGCCGAUGUUUAAGGGGUCGGAUUUGCUGUCUGCGCUGGUAAGAUGCUCCAACUAUAACGGUGCUCUAGUUUGUCUGUCUGCCUGGCGUUGUUCUAAAGCAGAAACUGGAGCGUGGUAAUUUCGAAAAAGCAGAAGAUAGUGGCUGCUACUGGAUCCAACUGAGUAGCAGUUUACCUAGAAGCAGAGGCACGUCCCUUCCUCGUCCGUGCGAGAUUAGCUGCACGCCCCGCAGUUUUUCCUAGAAGCAGCAGAGCCACAUCCCUUCCUCGUCGGACAGAGUUGACCGGUCAGAGGGAAUGCCCAUGGCACUGGCAGCACAUCAUCUCCAUCCGGCAGCCGCCGGGGAAUAUACACGCCGAGUCCAUGCGGCCGCACGCACCGAUCAUGAACAUUCUCGAUCUCGUCAGAUCAGCCAUGCAUGUGCAAACAGAAACUAUGGGAGCACACAUGGUUUCAGGAGCCCCGUCGCAUGCGCGCACGCACAUCACACCAUCCGUCAUUGCUCAUGGCUGACGACAUACGGCCGCUGAAUUACCCUGUAAGAUUUGUUAGGAAGCGUUGAACCCUUUGCUCGGGCCACAUGUAUAUUUAUAAAAGGAUUGUCGUGGUUUACAAGGUUUGAAAUAUCGCUAGGAUUCUUUCAGAGUACAUCGAGAGAUAUAUGACUUGAGGAGAAAGACUAGAACAGAAGAAGAGAUAGAAUCAGAAAAUAUUUUAAACAGCUAUCUCUACGAACUCUAUUCUAACAUCCUCCCUCAAUCCAAACCUAUGAAAAUUUCUCUAGGUUUAGAUUGUACUUGAACUCAUUCAAUCUCCUCGUAGUAAGUGGUUUGGUGAAGCCAUCAGCAAGUUGAUCUCCUGUGGGAAUAAACUUGAUGUCAAGUAGCUUUCGUGCUACUCUUUCUCUCACAAAAUGAAAAUCAACCUCCAUGUGUUUUGUACGUGCAUGGAACACAGGAUUUGCUGAAAGAUAAGUUGCACCAAUAUUAUCACACCAUAACCUUGCAGCUUGUGGAGUCUUGAUUCCCAACUCAUACAAAAGAAUCUGAAUCCACAUAACUUCGGCAGUUGCAUUGGCAAGGGCUUUGUAUUCUGCUUCAAUACUUGACCUUGACACAGUAGCUUGUUUCCUUGCACUCCAUGACACAAGGUUUGAUCCCAGAAAUACAACAAAACCACCUGUUGACCUUCUAUCAUCAGGACACCCUGCCCAGUCAGCAUCCGAAUAUGCACUAACUAGCAUGGAUGGCGAUUUAACAAUCUUGAUUCCAAGUCCCAUUGUAAACUUUAGAUACCUUAGAAUUCUCUUUACUGCAGUCCAAUGAACUGUACUUGGUGCAUGCAAAAACUGACACACUUUGUUGACAGAAUAUGAAAUAUCAGGCCUAGUCAACGUUAAAUAUUGUAGAGCACCAACAACACUCCUAUAGUUUGUUGCAUCACUCGGUCCAAGUAAUUCACCUCCUUCAACUAUAAGUUUCUCAAAAGUAGAAAGUGGUGUACUUACUGGUUUGCAAUGUUCCAGUCCUACCCUCUUUAUAAUAUAUGUAAUACACGUACAUGAAUCAUAUUACCCAUAGCACCGGCCUGAACACAAAAAAUUCGGUGAGACCUUUCAUGCUAUUUUCUAGUCCAAAAAACAGAGUAGUCGUACUGAUCUGAGUGCGGGUUUGAACUGACGUUGUUGUACUUGAUUUUGCCGUCACAAAGUGCUAAAAAAAUCAUUGAACUUGUUUUUUUAUCCUUUGAAUUUUUGUGUUGUGUACUUUUCUGGUUGUAAUGCGUGAACUUAAAGGUGGUUUCUUAUUGUAAUUAAACUUUGACCAUAUUUAAAACUUAUGUGUUUUUCCCGAACUUAUUUGGUACGUCAUGUUGAACUUAUUAGUUAUUUUAUUAAUCAUGAAUCUCUCGCGUUUCCUCUUUAAGUUGCUUUUUUCCUUCAACUAUACUGCUAUAACAUUUUCUUUCUCGAACUUACUGUGUCUCAAGUAAGGACUGAUGCUAUGUUUUUUUGAACUGGUAUCAAAUUUCUCAAUGGACAUAUUGAACUUUUUCUGCGUUUCAUUUAUGUGUUGAUGAUAUAACACCUGUUGAACUGCUACACCAUAGCUAAAAAUCUAUCCAUGUGAACUAUUUACUUUUUUCAAUUAACUUUUAUCAAUCAACAUACAUCAUUUUCCUUCCUGUUCAUACACGUAUUGCAGACAUUACAUACACAUACACAGCUCCAUGAUCAUACACAAUUUUCUCCUGUAGCUUCUCCUCGCUUCCCUUAACACAAACAAUCAUUUGGAGAGAAAAGCACAAUGGUUUUAGAUACAAAAAUCACCCCCACAUGAUAAUAUUGUAAAUACUAUCCUUAAAAGAAAGCAUGAAGAAUGCAAAAGUUCAUGGUAGAACCAAACCUAAUUAGGAAGGCUCGUCGAUCUCUUCAGGUAUUCAUCCCUCUUAGUAUUAUCAGAUUCAGCUUGAAUCAUGUGACCAACCUGAAUAGUGAGCACAAAGGCACAAAUAAUAUCAGAUUGGCUUGAAUCAUG
rnacentral:lncRNA from 1 species